GGGUGCUCUUGGCUAUCUAGUCUUGAGCAACGAACGAAAAUGUUUUGUGAUAGGCCAGAUAGACGAAAGCCCCAUUAAUUUUUAAUCAAUGAGGCAAUCUGAUGUAUCUAGUCAAUUCUGAUGUUAGCCUCUAUUUAACUAAGAGGCAAGUUGUAUGCUACG
rnacentral:antisense_RNA from 1 species